GGUUUUGAUUUUCCUGUGUUUACUGUGGCACUGUUCUCAAUAGUCAAGGUAUGGAACCAACUGAGGUGUCCACCAACAAGUGAACAGAUUUUUAAAAAAGCAUUGUGUGUGCACUGUGGAAUACUAUUCAACCAAAAAUAUGACCCAGCCAUGAAAUUUUGUCAUUUGUGGCAAAAUGGAUGGAACUAGAAGACAUCAUGUUAAGUGAAAUAAGCCAGGCACAGGAAGACAAAUAGUGCAUGUUCUCAUUAAUAGGAAACUAAAAAAGUAGAUUUCAUAGAAGUAGUUGAAUAGAAUAAUUGUCACUAGAAGUUGGAAAGGGUAGUGAGGAGGGAGAGAGAGGAAGCUUGAGGAAGCUUGGAUAAGAGAUGCCAAAAAAUAGCUACAUAGGAGGGGAAAGUUAUAA
rnacentral:lncRNA from 1 species